GUCGAACACUAUACGGAACGACGAUUUUUCCAUAAUGACUAUAAAGUGAAAAAAAAAAGAACAGAGAAAAAAGGAACAAGCCAAAAAAAACGCACCAAAAUUCGAAAUCAAAACGUAUAGACGAAUCUUUUUAACGCGCAAGAACGAUUCAUUGACAAAUCAAAUUCCGUUUUCUUUUCGAUGGCGGUCAACACUGUUAGAUAGAAUCAAAAACAUGGGAUUAUUCGACCUUUUUUUAAAUUGUGAUGAUAAUAAAUUCCAUUUUCGUACGAGUGGUAGUGCAGUUUCCAAUGCAAUCUGGUGCAAAAACGUAAUAUCUGGACAAAAUUGGUUGAGUGUAUGAGUGUAUCAUUUUUGGCAUUGGCUUUGUUGAAAUUAUUCAAUGUUUAUUGAGCACUUCUGCGAAUGAAGGAAAAAAAAUUUUCUUGAAUCAAUUUGUUUUGUUAAGUUCUUCUUCGUCGCUUUAGAAUUUCAAUAUUAAUGGAUGAUUGUCGAUCACGAUUUGCUAUACAAACAACCAACAAUCGUAUACAAUAUUUUCAUAUCACAUACAAAAUGUAGAUUCAUUUUAGUUCGUUUCCGUUUUUUGGACACUGAUUAAAUGUGUGUAAUACUGACCAUAAACAACAGUUUAUAACUCUUGAACUUAUCAAACAAUAACAAUAUUCAAGAAGGGACUAGAAACGUGAAGAACAGCUCAAACUACAUUUAUCUACAUAAUAUCACAACAGUUGACUACAUAAUAUGUGCGAUACAUAACACACGCUGGCGACUACUGCGAUUACUUAGCACAGCUCUUCUCGGUGUGAUAUUUUUUUCACCGUUGAAUACAAAUGAUCUCUACAAAAUAUGUAAACGAUUAUGCGCAGCUUCGCUCAGAAGUCACUUCGCUCACUUGCUCCGUAAUCUUUUCAUUAGUUUUACAACGUGUGUGCCAAUAGACGCACAUAUUGUUUUCGUUUCGAUUGUCUGUAAAUAUUUCGGUCUUAUCGGUGUGGAAAUAGAUUGUAAUAAAUGUGCAAUCACAUAAGAUGGUGGCGCUAAGGCGAUUGAUCGUUGUUGCAGUGGUAGCAUUGCAUCUACAACCAACAUUGGAAGAUACACCCGCUAGACAAAUCUAUAACAAUGUUAUGCUGGCAAGUCUUCGACACACAGACGAUUACAAACCAUCCUUUGUAUCUUACCGGCCAUCGUUUAAAUCAUCCAAUAGAUCAUCCUAUAGAUCGUCUAAUAAACAGUCUUCCAGGGCCAAUCAUAGAAAUACGCACAAGUACAGUUCACAUGUGCCAAAUCCGUUUUGGUAGUUUCAGAUUCACAAGGGCGUCGAUACAACCAAAGAAAAAGUGGCGAAAGCAACCGAUUAUUGGAAUGCCAUGGGUAGCUCGAGAUGGGAUUCACAUAUGCCAUUUCCAUAUUAUCAUUUCGUUGCAUGAAGUGGGCAAAGCUUUAGAAGACUAUUGGCGGGGAUUGGGCAAUGAUAAAUGGAGAUAAUGGGAGCGAGUUCAAUAAAUUCAUACGCAAAAAAGUGAAUGAGAUUAUUCUUUCCAUUAACGAAGCGAAUGCGGGGGCAAAUGAAAAACACUGACUCAGUUUUAAAAUCACGUUCUCGAAACAAACAAGCACAUAUCACAUAGACUGGCUUCAAAAUAUCGAUUGUAAAACAAAGUUGGCUUUAUCUUCUCAUUUUGACGUAGUUGGUUCAUCAUUUUCUAUCUCAAUUCAACGAUUUUUCGCACUUUCUCAAAACGACUGAAAAAGCAUCGCACGUGUGACAAUUUCAAUUAUGUUGAUGAGAGAAGAUUAAGCUAGUUUUAUUUUCAAGCACUGGCAUCCAUUGAAGUCUGAGGAUGAAUGGGACAUUGCCUGGUUGCGAAAAUUCUGGUCACAUUUUGAGUUAAUCAGAUCAUUAUCAAAUGAAUAUUGCCCCAUAUUGCAAAAUAGCGUGACAUUUGUGUCAUUAGUCAACAAUAAUCUUGAAUCGAUAACUGUGUCACAAUUAUAUGAAUUCCAAAGGAAUUUCUGUUUCAAGAAUUUGCGUGUCAAAAAAUUUGCUUGCGCAAUAAAUCAAUAUAGUUCAACGUAAAUAAAUUGAAUUGAAAUAGUGAUCAUUUUGUCUGUGUGAAGUAGCGAUGAGGUUUUCAUUAGCUACAGUGUUUGUUCUCACAUUUGUGCCAUAUUCAUUGCAAUUGCCCGCCGUUUCAACAAAACCUACGAUUAAAUCUGCCACCAGACUAAUGACCAAACCAAUAAACAAAAGCUAUGAGUAAAUUUGCGAGUAAACCUAUUAUAAAACCACUUGACUUGAUAAAAUGUCUUUUGCACAUUCAAACUUAUACCCACUUCAAAUAAUCUUCUUUUUCAGUGCAUUCAAGCAUCGAAAUUUUUAUGAUCCAUAUGUGGAUUCAUAUUUGAAAGAGUACAAACUGCCGACUAAUGAUCCACAAUUUAUUGCUGCGAACUCUGAGCUAUAUGAUUAUAUAGCCAAACCACUUCCAACGAGUAGACCGAUGAGCCCAGAAUUUGAAGAAUGCGUUCAAGCCAUCGUAAAAUAUGGAAUCGAAUUAUUUAAUGCUCUUGUGUUCUGCAUAGCAGAGAGGGAAAUGCAAGGGAAAAUGUCACAAGAAAAACCAGAACCGACUAAAGUACCGAAGAAACGGGAUAGUCGUGGCCGUCAAGACCAUCGGGAGCAUCGAAAGCAUCGGGAGCAUCGGGAAGAUCGACAACGGACCACAUUAAAACAAUUUCGACAGCCGAUGCAUAGUGUAGACAAUCCUGAACGUGAAGAAAUCAGUUCAAUUUAUGACAGGGUUUAUCAGCUAACUAUUGGACUCUGUUGAAUACACCACGUUGAGAUUAUUACAAAGCUUUCAUGACACCUACAAUCACAUCAUACACUAUUCAAUUACAUUUUUAAUUGGAUAACACGCCGAUUACACUUCCACGCGAAGUUUUUUUUAUGAAUUAGUUCAUUGAAUACUUAACAUAGGUAGAUACUAAGAAUUUACUCCAAUUGAAAACAGUGCUAUAUUUCAACGAAUUUUGUUUGUACAUAGCCUUCAUCUCAAGAUCUUUGAGUGAAACAUUGAUGUUCAAUUUUGUUUUGUUACAUAAAAAAUAAAACCAAAACAUUGCACAGCAAACACAAUUUUGUUGUUUUCUUCAGAAUUGAAGCGUGUUCAGAUUUGGCCAAACCUAUCAGAUAAGCACAAGCACAAUCACAACCACCCGAUAAGAGUGGUUCAUUUAUCGAUUCAUUGGUAUCAGCUGAUAACUUUUUCAUUCAAUCGAAACUGUUUGAUAACACACCAACAUUACAAAGUAAACACAACCAAUGAUUGUGUUCGUUGACAGACACAAUGUAUGUUCUCGAAUGGAAUUGACUUGAAGUUGCCUCCUUUUUAUAUAUUUCAGACUCAAAAUGAAAUCGACAUCAAACAUUCGUUUGGCUUGAUAAGCUGGCAUUGGAGUUGAGCUUCGUGGAAUAAAAAAACAAAAAUAACAGAAACAAAUCAGAAAUAAAUUUAAAAAUUAAUCGCGGCAAACAAAGUCAAAUUAAUGUGAAGAGUUUCUAAUGAAGAAUGGCAUCCUUUAAACUAUUAGUAGUUGAAAUAGUUAUACUAUCACUUCUGCCGCCAUCACUUCAAGGAUAUACAAAAGACGAACUUGAGCAAUUGUCAGCCUUAUCAAAUCAACUGCAUGCUAUGGAAGAGGGAAACGAUAUGAUUCCAUCCGACUCAUCGGAAGAUUCGUCAAUGACAACAGAACCAAGCGACCAGAUCGAAAUUCCCAUAUUCCGUUUCGACCUUUCCAAAGGCAUAAUUGACAUAGGACCAACAGAAUCCGGCCACAAGGUUGAUUUUUUUGAUAAAUGCAUGAGAGAUGUAAUGAGAGGCAAAUUCGGAAAUGGAAAAUAUCACUUUAGUGAAUACAUAUUUUGCAAAGGAUGGUUCGGUAAAAAAUUCUCAGAUGAAGUUGAAUUGGAAACGGUUGCACACGAAUCGAUUGAAAUAAACGCCCUAGAUUCUGACGAACAAAUUAAAAUAGGCGAUCCAGAAAGAGUGGAUAGCAACGAAGAACUUAUGAAAAAAUUCAGAAAUCAUGACUUGAACAUGCAAGUUAGUCGUGAAAAAGAUCAAACCAAUCAAGAAAAGGGUGUUGAUUAUCAAGAACAAGAUUACGAUUUCAAAUGAUGAUUAUGAAGAAAGAGAUGUCGAUUAGUUUCACGCGAAAAAUUAAAAAAUUAUUAAUAAUAAGCAAGGUUUGACAAAACAAAGACAUUGUAACAAACGAUUACAAUUGUAUGAAUUCAAUAAAUGUUUGAAAUUGGCUCGAAGCUAUCGUUCUCAUUU